ACGCACGCUAGCGGCAUGCCUAACCCAUGCCAGUCGAACGAGACCUUCGGGUCUAGUGGCGCACGGGUGCGUAACGCGUGGGAACCUGCCCUUAGGUUCGGAAUAACUCCCCGAAAGGGGUGCUAAUACCGGAUAAUGUCUUCGGACCAAAGAUUUAUCGCCUUUGGAUGGGCCCGCGUUGGAUUAGCUAGUUGGUAGGGUAAAAGCCUACCAAGGCGACGAUCCAUAGCUGGUCUGAGAGGAUGAUCAGCCACACUGGGACUGAGACACGGCCCAGACUCCUACGGGAGGCAGCAGUGGGGAAUAUUGGACAAUGGGCGAAAGCCUGAUCCAGCAAUGCCGCGUGAGUGAUGAAGGCCUUAGGGUUGUAAAGCUCUUUUACCCGGGAUGAUAAUGACAGUACCGGGAGAAUAAGCUCCGGCUAACUCCGUG
rnacentral:rRNA from 1 species